ensembl:snRNA U1 U1 spliceosomal RNA
AUAUUUACCUGGCAGGGCUGAUACUGUGAUCAUGAAGGUGGUUUUCCCAGGGUAAGACUUAUCUGUUGCACUCUGGAUGUGCUGACCCCUGAGAUUUCUGCAAAUGCAGGAAACUUGACUGUAUAAUUCGAGGCAGUGGGAAACUGCAUUUGUGCUCUCCCCUA